UAACAUAAUACUGAAUUAUUCUUGUUCUGUUCUGACAGACUUUUAAAUAAAAGGUCAUCUCAUACUAUUGCGGUGAGUUUGGAUAACUGUAUGUCUGCUUUGUAUAGUCUGAGUUUGUAUUGUUCCGUUACUGUCAUUCACUGGUUCUUGAAGGAGAACAGAGAAAGCCGUGCAUCGGGGUUUCAGAAAUCAUGCAGCAUGCUGAAGAACGCUGAGACAAAUGAGUAUUGCCCUUUUUUGACCACAAUGUUGUGGGGUUUUUUUUCAAGAUCCUUGAUGUACAUUUAAAGAAAUAUGUGCUUCCAGUUAUAAUAUUAACACAUUUUACCACAGAAAUUAACAGUUUCUUUUUAAUUAGGGAUGUCUACACUUUUAAAAGGGACACGCUUAAGACUAAUGUGAGAACAUAAUUUGCUUUCUUCUAACAUAUAUUAUAAAAAUGCUUAAAAAAAACAAGGCCUAAUUUUGUCUCAUGUUUGUAUUUAAUAGAAAAUUGGAGGAAUGGACCUGGAUAGAUCUGGGAUAAGAUGCAGGUGAAAUGUUGCAACACUGCCCUCUGGUGAAAUAUUAAGGCAACUGAUGUGUUGCUUAUGACUACAUUUAAAAGCUUUUUGACUACAUUUAAAUGCUCAAUCACUUUUUUUUAUAGUGAAAUCAGUACCUCCUAUGCUUAUCCCAGCUCUACAAAGAAAGCUCCAGGUCUUAAGGUUUGCUAUUUAGUCUUUAGCAACUACAAUCACAUGCACAAUUUAUGCCAUGCACACAAUGUGUAUGAUUUUACCCCAAGGCCCCAAGACGUAAUGAUAAGAAGUAUCUAUUCAGUGACACAGACACAGACAAUGCCACUGAGCACAGCUGGUUGAAGUCAUCCAGACGGAAGCCCAAGCCUAAAGUGGUGGACUACAGCAGGCAGCCAAAUAAACCCCUUCCAGUAGCCUUCAGUGCAUAUAAGUUCCCGGAUUUGCAGUGUCUGUCUCCAAAAGCAGUGAAAGAACAGGCCAAAAGGAAAAGACCACAGAAGAAGCCUGAAGAACUGAAGGACAACCCGGUGCCUGCUGUUACAAACAGAUUAAGCCAAAGACCGCAGCGAGCUGUGGCCAAAGCUACAAAAAGCUACAAAGACCCAUCUGAUAUCUCUAGCCAAUCAGAGGUGGAGGAAUCUCCAGCCUUGAAGACCAAAUUGAAGAGGGCAGUCGUACAAACAGAAGAGAGUGAGAAAUCUUCUCUGGAACAGGACAUAAAGAAGAAAAAGAUUUCUCACAUGCAGGAAACUAGAGAAAAGCACGCAGGAUCUUGGGUUGCCAAAGUGGCAUCUUUGUGCCCCAGCCCGUCCCCUGUUGAGAUAAUGAGAUGUAAGCAAUUAAUGAGAUUGACUCUAUGAUUGUGUAAUGGGGAAUGGUGCAAUACAUAUCACGAUAUAUUGUGACAAUGUACAUAAGGGAAUGUGUCGAUGUUUUGAAACUAUGUUAGUGUAAAGAUGCCACAACCAUGUGACUAUAGAUGGUAUGCAAAAAAAACAAGUACAUACAAAUUUCAAACUGUGACUAUAGACUGUAUAUAUUGUGCUGAAUUUAUUUUCAGUAUUAUGCUUCUGAAAAUUUGAUUCACUAUUGCAAAAAAGUAUUGAAUUUUGGUUGCACACCAUCCCCUCAGCCUAGAUGUUCUCUGUUUGUUUCACAGCUUCAGAGAAGUCUACACAUUCACCUGCAUCACCUACUACACCUCUCCGGCAGCUCUCCCUCUCGCCUGUUGGGGCUCCGGCUGUGAAAAUGCGUAGAAGCUUUAAGGGAAUCAGGGCCUCUUCUUUCUAUCGGCCAUGUGUUGGUAAAAACAGCUUUAAUGCCACCCCAUUGGCCUCUUUAACCAUAGACGACAAGAUGACUGUAACCGCCUCCAAGGUCAGUGGCAGCUGAGGCGGUGUGGUGUAGCUAACUGACUAACUUUUAGCAAAUCAAUGCAACUGAUUUUGGUCGGUCUUGGUUUCCACAGCAACCACAGCACAGUCUUGCUGAGGUCCUGCAUGACCAGCCCCUGCUCACCUCUACGGCUAUAGAGAGGUCUCUGGAUGCCCUCUCACACAAGUCUUCUGACCUGAGGUUGGAGCUGAUAGACCCUGAGGCUGUGCAAUGCGACCAAAGGACCUGGUCUGACGGGGAGUCUCCAAUUGCCGCACGGACCGUGCGCCAGUCAUCGCCUGGAAAAGUGAAGCCUCUGCAUGAA
ensembl:lncRNA